CUGGGGGGUCAUUGUGUCCACCCUUCUCCGCUCCUUAAGUGCUGGGAACAAUCAAAUGAGGUGGUACAAGUGUGAAGUGCACGGAUGUGGACUGUCAUGGAGUAAAUGCAGACCGAGGGGAGACUGUUCUUUCUAAAGAGGCAGCAGGGACAGCCACAGAGCUAGUCGUGGUGACAUGGUUUCAUCCCGGUUCUGCCCCACGGUCUCUGCAGGAGGGAGGGUAAGUCAUGGUCUCUCUCUGAGCCCACAUUCUACAAGGGUUUGAAAAGGAUCGGGGGGCGGGGGAUGACUCUGACUGUCUGCAUUUUGCGUUCGCUGGCUUGUCAUUUACACAUUUUUCAAGAAAUCCUAGUGUGGAUAUUUACAAGUACCGGCGUUUCCUGGGAUCAACAAAGGAGUUUAAAAACAUCAUAAUGCUUCAAGGAGUCAUGAGAGAGCAGAGAUUGCUCGAGGCCUCCCCCAGGGGUAGAGUGGGAAUGAAGACGGAGCACCACCAUAACAAGAUCGGGUCUCUAGGGAGAAGGUGGCAAGACUGGACCUCAAGGAAGCCAGAAGAACCUCGAGGGGCAGAGGAAGAUUUUUCCUCCUCAGUAGUUGGCCUAACUGGCAGAAUAGACUUCCCUGGCCAGAGACGCUGCAGAGGAGAGAUCCUAGGACGAACCGCCCAGCAGAGGUAAGAAUUCUUACCCUGUCAACAGCCCGGACUCUCUUUCUGUGGGGUCUGGUGGAGCCAAAGUGGGGAGAGUCCUUUUUCUAUCUCUAAAUUGAGAUGAGCAGGAAAAUGUUUGGGGAAGUAGUUCCUUGGGUUUAGUGACUCUGGUAAAUUUGGGUUUUAUGGAUCCAUUUCCUCUCAGAGAGAGUCACUGCUUUUCUCUGUGUCUUUCGUGUCAUUUGUCGUAAGAAGGAAAAACUAUAGGGUAUGAACGCAGGUGUAGGUCCUCUAAGUCUGCAGCUGGAGUGGCCUUAGACUCGGGGAGCUCAUGGUUCUCACCAGACCAGUGUCUGUUUAGACAGCUGUGCUGUGGGUCAACGUGCACAUGAGGUAAAGGCUGUUGCUAAGGGACCUCUUGGAAGCCAAAGUCACAAAAUUGGUGGGCACAGAUGAGCACUUACGAACUGUUAGAGCACUUGCCACCUAACCCCGAGACUCCCUUUUUCAGAUAAGUGGGCCACAGAAUGGGUUAAGGGGACACUAGGUCACCUGACAACCUCAAGGACACUUCCGUGGGUCCAGGUGCUCUGUAAGACAGCACACAGUCCCCCACCCUGUAGCGCAUGCCUCCGAGGGACCGAAGGUUUAGCUAAAGCUGUUAAUGUGCAUAUUAAAAAAAAACCGGGUGAGGUUUUUCCUUUCAUCUUGUUCUGGGUUCUGAGAGCUUCACUUUACGACCAGCAAGAAUACUCUCUCUGGUCUCCAUCAUCGAGAGGAGCACUUAUUAGAAGUGGAAGAGGCUGGUGCUCCAAGAUCUCCUCUUUGCCCAGCUGUGCCAGCUCUCGGGGGGGAAAAAAAGAUUUUAGGGGUGCCCGGCUGGCUCCAUCGAUAGAGCAUGUGACUUCUGAUCUCGGCAUUAUGAGUUAGAGCCCCACGUUGGGUGUAGAGAUGACUUAAAAAUAAAAUCUUAAAAAAAAAAGACCUUAAAGCCACAAUUCUUGCUUUUGCAACCUGAAUCUUCGGAAAGGCAAAAGCUUGACUCUGAGAGAAUGCAAAGCCCAUUCCCUAUCUUCCUCCAGACGAUUGCAGAUGUUGCAAGAACCUAGAACAUUAAAAGAAAAAUUGUGCUGGACUUAAGAAAAAAGGAGAGUUUGGGGCGCCUGGGUGGCUCAGUCACUGAGUGUCUGCCUUCGGCUCAGGUCAUGAUCCCGGGGUCCUGGGAUCGAG
ensembl:lncRNA